ACGCUGGCGGCAGGCCUAACACAUGCAAGUCGAGCGGUAGCACAGAGAGCUUGCUCUCGGGUGACGAGCGGCGGACGGGUGAGUAAUGUCUGGGAAACUGCCUGAUGGAGGGGGAUAACUACUGGAAACGGUAGCUAAUACCGCAUAAUGUCGCAAGACCAAAGUGGGGGACCUUCGGGCCUCAUGCCAUCAGAUGUGCCCAGAUGGGAUUAGCUAGUAGGUGGGGUAACGGCUCACCUAGGCGACGAUCCCUAGCUGGUCUGAGAGGAUGACCAGCCACACUGGAACUGAGACACGGUCCAGACUCCUACGGGAGGCAGCAGUGGGGAAUAUUGCACAAUGGGCGCAAGCCUGAUGCAGCCAUGCCGCGUGUGUGAAGAAGGCCUUCGGGUUGUAAAGCACUUUCAGCGGGGAGGAAGGCGUUAAGGUUAAUAACCUUGGCGAUUGACGUUACCCGCAGAAGAAGCACCGGCUAACUCCGUGCCAGCAGCCGCGGUAAUACGGAGGGCGCAAGCGUUAAUCGGAAUUACUGGGCGUAAAGCGCACGCAGGCGGUCUGUCAAGUCGGAUGUGAAAUCCCCGGGCUCAACCUGGGAACUGCAUUCGAAACUGGCAGGCUAGAGUCUUGUAGAGGGGGGUAGAAUUCCAGGUGUAGCGGUGAAAUGCGUAGAGAUCUGGAGGAAUACCGGUGGCGAAGGCGGCCCCCUGGACAAAGACUGACGCUCAGGUGCGAAAGCGUGGGGAGCAAACAGGAUUUAGAUACCCUGGUAGUCCACGCCGUAAACGAUGUCGAUUUGGAGGUUGUGCCCUUGAGGCGUGGCUUCCGGAGCUAACGCGUUAAAUCGACCGCCUGGGGAGUACGGCCGCAAGGUUAAAACUCAAAUGAAUUGACGGGGGCCCGCACAAGCGGUGGAGCAUGUGGUUUAAUUCGAUGCAACGCGAAGAACCUUACCUGGUCUUGACAUCCACAGAACUUUCCAGAGAUGGAUUGGUGCCUUCGGGAACUGUGAGACAGGUGCUGCAUGGCUGUCGUCAGCUCGUGUUGUGAAAUGUUGGGUUAAGUCCCGCAACGAGCGCAACCCUUAUCCUUUGUUGCCAGCGGUUAGGCCGGGAACUCAAAGGAGACUGCCAGUGAUAAACUGGAGGAAGGUGGGGAUGACGUCAAGUCAUCAUGGCCCUUACGACCAGGGCUACACACGUGCUACAAUGGCAUAUACAAAGAGAAGCGACCUCGCGAGAGCAAGCGGACCUCAUAAAGUAUGUCGUAGUCCGGAUUGGAGUCUGCAACUCGACUCCAUGAAGUCGGAAUCGCUAGUAAUCGUAGAUCAGAAUGCUACGGUGAAUACGUUCCCGGGCCUUGUACACACCGCCCGUCACACCAUGGGAGUGGGUUGCAAAAGAAGUAGGUAGCUUAACCUUCGGGAGGGCGCUUACCACUUUGUGAUUCAUGACUGGGGUGA
rnacentral:rRNA from 1 species